UAAGAGUCCGCUGGGCCCGAGCCUUUCUUUCCGGGGCUUGCUUUCCUGCUUCCCGGACUGUCAGGACACUACCGAAGCCAUAGUACUCUGAGUCCGGAUUCCCUUCGCUAAAUCAGCCGGUGGGACCCAUGCGGGAGGGCCGGAAAACAGACGAAAAAGAGAAGGGACGAAGAAAGGAGGACAAUCGCCUUCAUUGUCCUUUUCCUACUCAUCUUUAAGGAUGUUGCCAUGAGUAUGCCCCUGUAGCUUCAGGAACGGCCCAGUCCAACCUCCUCAGUCUUUCACUGCUUCGCAGCAUCGCUCUGGGACAAGGCGCGGCUUCCAAGGUCACCCCGCUUGCCGCCAAGACCUUAACAGGCUGGACAAGCCAGGUUAGGAAAGCCGGGCGGUGGUGGCGCACGCCUGUAAUCCCAGCACUCUGGGAGGCAGAGGCAGGCGGAUUUCUGAGUUCGAGGACAGCCAGGGCUAUACAGAGAAACCCUGUCUCGAAAAAACCAAAUCCAAAACAAAUAAAAUAAAGUAUGGGUUACAGUACAACAUGUCUGUUAUUGAAACUGACAGGUGAUGAGUGAACCAUGUCCCUGCUUCCAUAUUUAACUGGAGGCAGAUAAGGAGCUAAGUCUGAAGAUAAAGGGCUGAAAAGGUAGCUCAGUGGUUUAGUACUGUUGCUCUUGCAGAGGACCCCAAUUCACUUCUAGGGGGUUUAAUGUCAUCUUCUGACCUCUGUGGGUACCAGAUACAUACAUACAUGGAGGGAAAACAUUCAUACAGGUAAGAUUAAAAUUUUUAAUUUUUUAUUUAUUUUUGAAACUAUAGCUUGAAAUGCCUGGAUAAAAUCUGCAUCAGGCACAAAAGUAGAACAAGUGGAGUUCUUAUUUGCUGGAGGCAAGGCAGAACCUUGUUAAAUGACACAGAAGGCCUGGCUGCAUACUAUGUGGUGGAAGGUGGAAUGUGACUCCUGCAAGGCAGAACUUAGUAUCUGGUAGGAGAAAAAGGGAAGAGCAUUCUAGGGGAAAACAAACAAUGUGUGCUGAAUAAUAGAAAUGGGACUCUUUUCAGAUCAUGAGGACCAGACAGACAGAUUAAAUAGGGGAAGUAAGGGGUUGGGGGUGGCCACAGUAUUAGAAGACAGGCAAAGAAGAGCAACAGGGUACCAAAGACGGUUUAACUCUUGUCACUGUGGGACUGGGCUGGGCGAUCACACUCCACUCAACAGGAUGGACCAAAGUUCUUGGCUAGCUUCCAACCAACUGUGUCAAGAAGUAGUGGUGACCUUGUGGUAGCCUCCAGUUUAAAAUGUUACAUAUAUUCCUCCAAAACCUAGGAUUCCAUGGGGCUGCAAAAGUAGGCUUUAUUUAUUUUUUUGGAGACAAGUGUCUCAACAUUGACCUGGCUGUCCUGGAACUCACUACAUAGAUCAGGCUGGCCUCAAACUUAGAGAUUCCACUGCCUCUGCCUCCUAAGUGCUGGAAUUAGAGGCAUGAGCCACCAUGGCCCAGCUAAUGAUAAUUCUUAACCAAAUGAGGCCAUUCCCUCAUUAACAUGCCUACAUAGAAUUAUGUUAUAGGUAAUAGAAAGUCUACUUCAAGAUUUCUGUUUAGCUCUACAGGCUCAAGCAUAAAUGUCUUUGCAUUUAUGGCUUUGUCUUCCUGCUUUUAUCUGGAGGUUUGGGUGUUUGUGUAUUCACUAUCACAUACACUGCAGCGUUGUUGCUACCUGUAUUUUGACAUUGUCUUUGUUUCUGCAGUGUUGGGGAUUGACUCUAGAGCCUGUGCAUGCUAAGCAGGUCUAUACCGCUGGGCCCAGCUCAGCCCUGCUCCCUUUGUGAUCCAGGUUCUCACUGCAGCCCUGUCUCGGCCUCCCAAGAAGCUAGGAUUCGAGGCCUAAUUUUUACUUAGACUGAGCUCCUAAGGAAGUGGUUCUCAACCUUCCUAACGCUUUGACCCUUUAAUAUAGUUCCUCAUGUUGUGGUGACUCCAACCAUAAAAUUAUUUCGUUGUUACUUCAUAACUAUUUUUGCUACAGUAAUGAAUCAAUGUAAAUAUCUUUGGACACAGAGAGUUGCCAAAGGGGUCAGGAACCCUCAGGUUGAGAAAUGCUGUCCUGCUGGGUAGUGGUGGUGCACGCCUUUAAUUCCAGCACUCGGGAGGCAGAGACAGGCAGAUUUCUGAGUUCCAGGCCAGCCUGGUCUACAGAGUGAGUUCCAGGACAGCCAGGGCUAUAUAGAGAAACCCUGUCUUGAACCACCAC